AGAGUUUGAUUAUGGCUCAGGAUGAACGCUGGCGGCGUGCUUAACACAUGCAAGUCGAACGAAGCAUUUACCGGAACAUUUCGGAUGGAAGUAAAUGACUGAGUGGCGGACGGGUGAGUAACGCGUGGAUAACCUACCAUAUACAGGGGGACAACAGUUGGAAACGACUGCUAAUACCGCAUAAGCGCACAGUGCCGCAUGGCACGGUGUGAAAAACUCCGGUGGUAUAUGAUGGAUCCGCGUCUGAUUAGCUAGUUGGUGAGGUAACGGCCACCAAGGCAACGAUCAGUAGCCGACCUGAGAGGGUGACCGGCCACAUUGGGACUGAGACACGGCCCAAACUCCUACGGGAGGCAGCAGUGGGGAAUAUUGCACAAUGGGCGAAAGCCUGAUUGCAGCGACGCCGCGUGAGCGAAGAAGUAUUUCGGUAUGUAAAGCUCUAUCAGCAGGGAAGAAAAUGACGGUACCUGACUAAGAAGCCCCGGCUAACUACGUGCCAGCCGCUGC
rnacentral:rRNA from 1 species